UACGUAGGGUGCGAGCGUUAAUCGGAAUUACUGGGCGUAAAGCGUGCGUAGGCGGUUCGUUAAGUCAGCUGUGAAAGCCCCGGGCUCAACCUGGGAAUUGCGGUUGAAACUGGCGAACUAGAAUCUGGCAGAGGGGGGUGGAAUUCCACGUGUAGCAGUGAAAUGCGUAGAGAUGUGGAGGAACACCGAUGGCGAAGGCAGCCCCCUGGGCUAAGAUUGACGCUCAGGCACGAAAGCGUGGGGAGCAAACAGG
rnacentral:rRNA from 1 species